UUUACUUUUUUAAUAUAAUCGAUUGUGUUUGUAUCGGUGUUAGAUUCGUACAUAUGUCUAGGAGUCUUUUUUUGUUUAAUUCUGUAAAUUUUCUCUUUAGACGCCUAUUAUAAGUAGCUUAGCUUGAUUUCCCGGUGACUUUCUAUUAUUGGAAAUUUUAUUAUCCUUUCCUUUAUUGUUUUCAUUGCAUGUGUUAUGAAUAUAUGAGGAGAUCGAAAUUAAAGUAGGGAUUGAUUAGAGUUGUGAAGUUAUAACUGAAACUUUAAGCUAGAUUAUUGGCUCGUUUGAAAUGUAAUCUGAUUUUAAACAUUUUGUGAAUCAAUAGAAGUUAUUGGCAAUCUACGUCGGGCCAUUCAAACACGACCUUCAGCUUUUUGUAGCGUGUGAUUUUAAGAGGUGCAAUGUAAAAGAUUUACAACUUUUGAUUGAGGAUUGAUUAGUAGAAGUUACCUGUAAAAUUGUUGUUUUCUUGUGUAAUUACUAAGUAUUUGCUUUGUUUAAAUAGAAAUGGAACAGAAGAUUUUCUUUAAACUUUCAUUUCACUCGAGUGUGGAAAGGAUAGCUAGGGGUUCUUAUGUCUCAUCUUCAAAUACCGAUAAACUUCCCAUUGAAUGAGUUUAAUUUGAUGUCACAUACUACUACUGGAACGUCGUGUAGUUACAAAAAAAAUUAUUUUCAGAUUAAGCUUCAGGUUUUGUUUGCUUUGAUUGAAGGCAAACUUGGCAGUGUUUUCUGCCUUAAUGAAUGAUUAUUGGUUUUUGGUCAAUCAGGUUUGGUCUUUGGUGAGGAGAUUUGAUCAACCGCAGAAGUACAAACCAUUUGUUAGCAGGUGUGUUGUGCAGGGUGACCUUCAGAUUGGAAGCGUUAGAGAAGUUAAUGUUAAGUCAGGUCUGCCAGCCACAACUAGCACUGAAAGGUUAGAGUAUCUAGACGAUGAUGAGCAUAUUUUGAGCAUGACGAUUGUUGGAGGAGAUCACAGGUUGAAGAACUACUCGUCCAUUGUUACAGUCCAUCCUGAGGUCACUGAUGGCAGACCAGGAACAUUGGUGAUUGAAUCAUUUGUGGUGGAUGUACCAGAUGGGAACACCAAGGAUGAAACAUGCUACUUUGUUGAGGCACUGAUCAAGUGCAACCUCAAGUCAUUGGCUGAUGUUUCAGAACGUUUGGCUGUUCAGGAUCGGACCAAGCCAAUUGAAAGAAUGUGAAUAAUCUGGGUCCCUGUUAUCAGCAUUAAAGUUCUUGUUUUGGGUGAUAAGUGGGAUACUCUUGUUAUUGGAAGAUGAGUAUACAGUUUAGGCUUCCUGCAGGCAGAGUCAACUUCUCUUUCCUUAUACUUUAUGCUUCUUCUUUUUACUAGAACAUGAUAUUUAGGUGUCUUGUGUUGAUAGUAGCUGACAAUUAAUCUCAUCUGCGGCAUACAGAUUUCCCAUAUGAAGAAACAAAUAAAAAAUUUCUCUGUGGUUUUUUCUAUGUUGAACAUGGGGUGUUGUAUUGGUAUUUGGUUGUAAAUAUCUGUGCACGAUAGAAAUUUUAUGUUCAUAUCUUUAGUUUUGCAUGUUCCAGUUGCAGAAAAGCCAUUCACUGUUUGGUGGAUAUAUGGUAUUGGUAUGUUAUGUUGUUUCAUGAUGUGAAUUUACUCAUCUAGGAAGGUAUUUGUACUAAUUGGAAGAGUGGUCAGCGCUUCCCAAUUGCCAAAACUCCAGAUUUGGAUCCUCCUCUGUCUAAUUGGAUUUCAAGCUUUUUGGAGUGUCGCAUUCAGUUCUAGAGGCAGGUUCUGCCCAAUGUUGCGGUUGCCCAUUAAAUGCAAGGAACGCUCCUGUUAUCCAAUAAAUGAUGUAUGGCCUGUAUUUCAUGAGAAUUAAACCAGCCUCUCCGAUUACUCUGUUCCUGUAAAAAAAAAAAACGAGAAAAUUUGCAGCAACUGUUAGAUUUUUUUGGUGUUCAAAUCUUUUUUUUUCCAGGUCAGAUUUAUUCUAAUUAGGUGGUGCUAAAGAAUGAUCCAAUUUUCAUGAUUCAAGAAAGAGGGUGCGUCAAAGUAUUCAAUUCAAUAAUUAAUGCAUGCUAUAUUUUUUUGGGUUGGUUACGAGAAAAAAAGGAGGCCACGUAAACACCAGCACCAUUAUAUCCCUAGAAAGGAGGUGUGAUUUCAAUAAUUUAGAAGGCGAAAAUAGCAGUGUACCGUUUGGACUAUCAUCAAAAGGCAAAAAAGAAAAGACAAGCUAUGAGAACAAUGUCGAACCACAUAUAAUAAACCAUUUUAGAGGCAGUGGAGAAUCU